GAUGAAGAACGUAGUGAAAUGCGAUAACUAGUGUGAAUUGCAGAAUUCCGUGAAUCAUCGAAUCUUUGAACGCACAUUGCGCCCGCCAGUAUUCUGGCGGGCAUGCCUGUUCGAGCGUCAUUACAACCCUCAGGCCCCCGGGCCUGGCGUUGGGGAUCGGCGGAGCCCCCCGUGGGCACACGCCGUCCCCCAAAUGCAGUGGCGGUCCCGCCGCAGCUUCCAUCGCGUAGUAGCUAACACCUCGCGACUGGAGAGCGGCGCGGCCACGCCGUAAAACACCCAACUCUUCUGAAGUUGACCUCGAAUCAGGUAGGAAUACCCGCUGAACUUAAGCAUAUCAAUAAGCGGAGGA
rnacentral:misc_RNA from 1 species